CCUACGGGAGGCUGCAGUGGGGAAUAUUGCGCCAUGGUCGAAAGCCUGACGCAGCGACGCCGCGUGAAGGAUGAAGGUCUUCGGAUCGUAAACCUCUGUCAGCAGGGAAGAACGGUCCCUGUGCUAAUCAGCAGUGAAUUUACAGUACCUGAAAAGGAAGCACCGGCUAACUCCGUCCCCGCCGCCUGGGUAAUACGGAGGGUGCGAGCGUUGAUCGGAAUUAAUGUAUGUAACGAGCUCGUAGGGGGUAUGUCAAGGCAAGGUGGAAAUGCCCGCGCUCAACGGGGGAACGGCCUCUGAAACUGGCAAACUGGAGUGUGUGAGAGGAUAGUGGAAUUCCAGGUGUAGGAGUGAAAUCCGUAGAUAUCUGGAGGAACAUCAGUUGCGAAGGCGACUAGCUGGCACAUAACUGACGCUGAGGAGCGAAAGCGUGGGUAGCAAACAGGAUUAGAUACCCUGGUAGUC
rnacentral:rRNA from 1 species